rnacentral:tRNA from 1 species
GUGGGUGGCUCAGUGGUUAGAGCCUAGGGCUUAUGACCGAAAAUUCCCGAGUUCGAAUCUCGGAAGCGGCA